GAAAUGCGAUAAGUAAUGUGAAUUGCAGAAUUCCGUGAAUCAUCGAAUCUUUGAACGCACAUUGCGCCCUCUGGUAUUCCGGGGGGCAUGCCUGUCCGAGCGUCAUUGCGACCCCCUCAAGCACGGCUUGUGUGAUGGGCCCUCCCGCGUCUUGGUCGUCAAGACGGGCCCGAAAUGCAGUGGCGGCUUCGCGGUUAUCCGAUCAGCCAGAGCGUAUGGGGACUUUCUCUCUGUCACACGCCCGCGGCGCGGACCGACGCCUGUCGACCUUCAUUCAUCGUUUUCUCGGUUGACCUCGGAUCAGGUAGGGAUACCCGCUGAACUUAAGC
rnacentral:misc_RNA from 1 species